rnacentral:rRNA from 1 species
UCCCUAGUAACUGCGAGUGAAGAGGGAAAAGCUCAAAUUUAAAAUCUGGCAGCUUCGCUGUCCGAGUUGUAAUUUAGAGAAGUGUUACCCCGCCGCUGGACCGUGUAUAAGUCUCCUGGAAUGGAGCGUCAUAGAGGGUGAGAAUCCCGUCUUUGACACGGACUACCAGGGCAUUGUGGUGCGCUCUCGAAGAGUCGAGUUGUUUGGGAAUGCAGCUCUAAAUGGGUGGUAAAUUCCAUCUAAAGCUAAAUAUUGGCGAGAGACCGAUAGCGAACAAGUACCGUGAGGGAAAGAUGAAAAGAACUUUGGAAAGAGAGUUAAACAGUACGUGAAAUUGCUGAAAGGGAAACGCUUGAAGUCAGUCGCGUUGGCCGGGGAUCAGCCUUGCUUUUGUGAGGUGUACUUCCCGGUUGACGGGUCAGCAUCAGUUUCGACCACUGGAGAAAGGCUUGGGGAAUGUGGCACCUUCGGGUGUGUUAUAGCCCCUUGUUGUAUACAGUGGUUGGGACUGAGGAACUCAGCACGCCGCAAGGCCGGGUUUCGACCACGUUCGUGCUUAGGAUGCUGGCAAAAUGGCUUUAAGCGACCCGUCUUGAAACACGGACCAAGGAGUCUAACAUGCCUGCGAGUGUUUGGGUGGAAAACCCGAGCGCGUAAUGAAAGUGAAAGUUGGGAUCUCUGUCGUGGAGAGCACCGACGCCCGGACCUGAUGUUUACUGACGGAUCUGCGGUAGAGCAUGUAUGUUGGGACCCGAAAGAUGGUGAACUAUGCCUGAAUAGGGUGAAGCCAGAGGAAACUCUGGUSGAGGCUCGUAGCGAAUCUGACGUGCCAAUCGAUCGUCGCA